rnacentral:rRNA from 1 species
AUAUCAAUAAGCGGAGGAAAAGAAACCAACAGGGAUUGCCCCAGUAACGGCGAGUGAAGCGGCAACAGCUCAAAUUUGAAAUCUGGCCCCCCCCGCGGGGACCCGAGUUGUAAUUUGCAGAGGAUGCUUUUGGCGCGGCGCCUUCCGAGUUCCCUGGAACGGGACGCCAUAGAGGGUGAGAGCCCCGUCUGGUCGGACGCCUAGCCUCUGUAAAGCUCCUUCGACGAGUCGAGUAGUUUGGGAAUGCUGCUCUAAACGGGAGGUAUAUGUCUUCUAAAGCUAAAUACCGGCCAGAGACCGAUAGCGCACAAGUAGAGUGAUCGAAAGAUGAAAAGCACUUUGAAAAGAGGGUUAAACAGUACGUGAAAUUGUUGAAAGGGAAGCGCUUGUGACCAGACUUGGGCGCGGCGAAUCAUCCGGCGUUCUCGCCGGUGCACUUCGCCGCGCCCGGGCCAGCAUCAGUUCGCGGCGGGGGACAAAGGCGCCGGGAACGUGGCUCCCCCGGGAGUGUUAUAGCCCGGCGCGCAAUGCCCCGCGGCGGACUGAGGUUCGCGCAUCCGCAAGGAUGCUGGCGUAAUGGUCACCAGUGACCCGUCUUGAAACACGGACCAAGGAGUCGUCCUCGUAUGCGAGUGUUCGGGUGUCAAACCCCUACGCGCAAUGAAAGUGAACGCAGGUGAGAGCCUCACGGCGCAUCAUCGACCGAUCCUGAUGUUCUCGGAUGGAUUUGAGUAAGAGCAUACGGGGCCGGACCCGAAAGAAGGUGAACUAUGCCUGUGUAGGGUGAAGCCAGAGGAAACUCUGGUGGAGGCUCGCAGCGGUUCUGACGUGCAAAUCGAUCGUCAAACAUGGGCAUGGGGGCGAAAGACUAAUCGAACCUUCUAGUAGCUGGUUUCCGCC